rnacentral:rRNA from 1 species
UACGUAGGGUGCGAGCGUUAAUCGGAAUACUGGGCGUAAAGCGUGCGCAGGCGGUUGUGCAAGACCGAUGUGAAAUCCCCGGGCUUAACCUGGGAAUGGCAUUGGUGACUGCACGGCUAGAGUGUGUCAGAGGGGGGUAGAAUUCCACGUGUAGCAGUGAAAUGCGUAGAGAUGUGGAGGAAUACCGAUGGCGAAGGCAGCCCCCUGGGAUAACACUGACGCUCAUGCACGAAAGCGUGGGGAGCAAACAGG